rnacentral:lncRNA from 1 species
CCUGUAAUCUUAAUGCUAUUUGGUGUACCAACUUCAACUUUAAAAGUACUUUUUAUUGGUAUAGUUAUCAAAGCCAAAAAAUAAUCUUCACGAAAUCAAAUCUCUGUUUUUUUGGCCGUAAAAGUUUUGUGAGGGCAUGAAAGUUUAACUCGGACACUUCCGCAAGACAUUGCAAAUCUAUUGUUUUGAAUUGAAUAUGAAGCUCAAUUUAUUUUUCAAUUCGAAUUGUGGGAGCUUACACUUAGUACAAAACGAU